rnacentral:lncRNA from 1 species
AAGGAUGAGCAGGCUCUCUGCCAUCUGCCCACCAACUUUUCAAGUUACUUUUACCCACCUUCAAAAUUACAUCUGCUUUUAGCAAGAAUUACUGAUGUGAUAAAGAUGGGAGUGUUCACCAUGCAAGGGCAGGGGAUCCCCUGCUGCUCCACCAUCAGAUUUGGGACACCACCCCCCCCCCGGCCCCACCAGAGGGCAUCAGCUAUGCCUAGCAAUUACGCCCCCGUGGCUAAAUUAAACUCCCAUUGGCUAAAUUAGGCUCGAAGAGAGGGGCACCUGCUGCUAAGCUGUGUAUGUUGUCCCCUAGGACUCCCACCGUUUGCUGAGCUCCACAUGACAACAGCAGACGACAGGCCGCACUGAUCCCACCUGGCUUACAGGUGCUGUCACACAGGACUGCUGACUAAACACUUUCAAGCACAGUGGACCCUUGAACAACGCAGGUUCAAACUGUGCAGGUCCACCCACAGGGAUGUUUUUCAAUCAGAGUUAUACCAAGUGUCCCUGCCUCUCCUGCCUCCCUUCCCACUUCCUCCAUGUCUUCCUCUCUGCCACCCUGAGGCAGCAAGACCAGCCCCUCCUCCUCAGCCACUCAACAUGAAGACAACGAGGAUGAAGACUUCUAUGAUAAUCCACUUCCACUUAGUAAAUGCUUUCUCUUAUGAUAUUCUUAAUGACAUUUUAUUUUCCCAAGCUUAGUUUAUUGUAAGAAUACAGUAUAAAUACACAUACAAA